UCUUGCUCAUGUCUCCCAGCCAGCUGCCAGUUCUCCAGGAGUCACCUCGGAAGAGAGCCAGGCACAUGUCUCAAUGACAGAGAGGAAACACUUGUGCCAGUCAGAGAUGCUGAAGGCCACCCGGGGCUGUCUCCUCACCAUCAUUCAGAGGCACACUUUAAUAUCACCAGAGUUUGGGAACUGUGUCUUUCUGGAGCUGUAGAUAUCCAAAGUGGCUGCUGUCAGGAAAAUUCUGUGAGGAAUGCCAGAAUAUAUGACCUACCUGGCAUUUCCCUGCAAAGACAGCAGCCUUCAUCUCAGGACAAACCCACAGGGAACCUGUUCAAUUACCUGAUCUUUUUCUUAAUCACAUAAUGCCUCUUACUGAGAGAGAAGAAGAUUAAUUUACUUUUUAAAAACAAUAUUUAUGAACCCAAGGAUUAAAAUUAAUGAUUUGAAAUAACAGCUCCUUAUUGGAGGAAUCCAAACAUCCCUAAUUGCUGUAUUAAAUUUUGACCUGAAAUGUCACCUGUGGCCGCUGUUUGCUUCUGUUCUAAAACCACUGAUGGUCUGUUGGGACACUGCCAUCACAUGGGUGUGUCUGUUACUGUAACAAAUGCAGUAAGUGCAUUCAUUGCUUUACAAAGAAAGUAUUCCUAUAUAUUAUGCAGCCACAAAGAAAAAUGUACUUGAGAGCAUGUAGUAUGGUGCAUGGAUGGAAGCAAUCCCGUGUUUUUCUUCAUGUCACACUCCUCACCCCCAAUUUUGAUCUACUGUAUUUGCUUAACAUAACCACUUCAUAUUUGGGCAUAUACACUGAACAUUUUUUUCCAUCACUCUGCAUGGACCUUUCUAUAAUGUUUAAAGUUCUCCAGCUUUCCUUGUUUUUCUGAUCUCCUGGAGUUGUUAACCAAUUACAGCUGGGAUCAAGGCCAAAACCAGCUAAGUAUCACAACCGAGAUUAUCUCAAGUGGUACCUUAGUUAAACUGCUGAAUAAUCUUUUCUUUAGGGUUCAGAUAAACAUUCGUUGAGUUUUCUCAUACCUUAUGCCUUCCUAAAGGGCCUUCAUUUUUUUCUUUUUUAUGUUCUUUUCUCUUUAUAAAGCUUCCUAGAGGAAGUGAGGUGGAGUCCCACCUCUGCUACAUUAACUGCAAAUUAGGAUAGCCCUCUUCCUUCACAGACUUUCUCUGGAAAAAAAAUGGAAGAUAAAUUAUAUUAUGGUUUCUGUACAGCUUGCCCCCAAAUCACUAAAAGUAACAAUUUCAGCAGAUCCUCGACUGUGCUUUCAUUUUAUUUUGCAGUGACUCUGGAUUAUUUUACCUUUCACAAGAAGAAAAGCAGUUUUCUGCAGUUCACCUACUUACAGGACACUACCAAUAGUCAGACUUGGUCUUCUAUGCAGUAUUUCAAACCAGAAAUCCAUGACAUAGGAUGACCUGACAACAGGUCAGGUAAAUAGGUUAAACUGUUUCUUGUUAAACAAAUAUUUCUUUCUCCUCAAUGCAUAUAUGAGGAAGAGGUGGCUUUUUCUUCUCUAAAGCAAUUCAGUUUUCUCCCUUACUGUGAGUUAACUGCUGAUACAAUAUUUUGAGAAAAAGAAAAUCUUAUCUCAGGAGUUUCGGUCUUAAAACAGGAAAAUUUUGUUCUCAACUAGGAAAACUCAUCCAAUUUUCCCACUGCAAAAAUACAGAUGAAAGCAAAACACAUUACAGAAGGAAAUGUAAAAUGACAAAGAACAGCAAAAGGAGCUAUAACACUAUAUGACAUUGAUUUCUUAACCUACAUUUAUUUAUUCUUCCGCUUCACAGAAGAGAAUAUUACAGAGCAUUCCAUAAGUUGUUAAAACUUGGCCAUCCCUGCUGAUUGAUAUAGUACUGUACCUCGAAUGAAUUGUUUGGGGUGAAAGUGUUCUUAUCUGACUCUGUUGAUGGAGAUGUAUCUGCUCUCAAGAGAUGGGAAGAUAAUUGUGUUUACAAAAGUGGGUUUAAAGAACAUGCAUUACAGAGACACUCACGCAGCCACACACUAUCACAGUACCAGUGAGUCAUUGUAACCAAGCUUUUAAU